rnacentral:lncRNA from 1 species
CUUGCCAUGCGCUGCCCGCGGCCCUGCGCGGAGGAGGAGGCGGCGGUGGCCGCGGCCGAGGGUGGGGAGCGCGGCCCGAGUCGGCCCCGUUCUCCCAGGCGGCGGCGGGGGUUCCCUGUUUCCCUCCCGCUCCUCUCCGCGCUGCGGGGGCCGAGCCGGGCGCGGCGGCGGGGGAGGAGGGAAGGGAAGAGAGGAGGAGCCGCCGCCGCUGCGAGGCGGGCGGGCUGCACACACACAGGCACAGUGUGCGGAGGAGGAGGAGGAGAAGGAGGAAGGAGGAGGAGAAGGAGGUCGUCGCCUCGGCGCGGCCCCGGCCACCCUGCGCAGCGCGGCGGCGGGGCCGGCGGCGGCGCGCGCCCCGGCGGCUGAGGGAAAGAAAGUGAUUCUCUGCAAUGGAAAUUUUGACAAAGUAACUUCUGAUCUUCAAAAAGUAAAGGCAGGGAGAGUACGGCAGAUGAUUUCCCACGUUGAUGGAAGUAUAAGGUAAAUGGGUUGCAUUCGCUCUUUCUUUUGCAGCAUUGGUCCCUGCCUCUCUCUGUUCCUCUCUCAUUGGCUAAGUCUCUUAUGCCAAAUCAGUAUGAAAAGCAGGGAACAGGAGGAGUUCUGCUGUCUGCAUCUUUUGCUCCUGAACUCCUCUGCUCACUUGCACAUUCCUACGUUCCAUUGAGUUACCUGCCUUUGUUCUUAGGUCAGAGCCUGCUUCCCAGAAACAGUGGAAAGAGCCGUUUUCCUAUUGCAGAACAGGAGUUAAUGGGGGCGGGCAGUAGAGAACCUCUCCUGCUGGCUUCUUGGGAUUUCUGAUGUUCUUAAUGGCUCGUCGCUGAGCCUUGCUCAUUUUGGAAGCUGAAUGAAUUGUCACUGAACCUUGCUCAGUUUGAGUGUUGUAUCCUUCCCUCUCUUUCAAAGGUGAGUGGUCCCUCCUUGUGUGCUAUGAACUGUUUUUUGUUUGGGGAAUCUUGGCUGUACAAAGUUCCUGAGCUCCCAGACACUGCUGCUCUUGCAGUAGCUUCAGCUUUGCAGGCUGUGUGUACGUUAUCUAACUUCAGAAAUUAGUCAUGUCAUCUCUACUUUUUCUUUCACUUUCCCACUGUGCUUCCAUAACCCCAUGUUCUUUAUUUUAUUCAUCCUGCUAAGAAAUCCUUAUGCUCCAACUUGAGGUAGGCCCUUCCCAUUUUGCUCUCUACCUUCUUCAUUUUUCUAGCCUAGGACCUUACAACCUUAAUAUCAGCUUUUCCCACUCCACUGUUGCGCAUUCCCACAGCCUUGACCUGAGAAUGUGGUUCCUGUCCCAAACUUACAGAGUGCUGGAGGCAGAGGUAAACCAACUGGCUUCACAGGGUAUAGCUGCCAACUUCAUUUUUGCAUGAAGUUGUAGCAAGAGCAGAGCAACUCUAGACUUUUGCUUAUGUGCAGUAUCUAGCAAGAGGUGCUGUCUCUGUGACUCACUGUAGCAUUUCAUACGUGGGAGUCAGGAGCAGCUUUCAUUGUCUGUUACCAGUGUACCACUAAGAAGGGUUUUAUGUACCGGGCUUUAUCAAAACAGAGAUGGAUAAUUGAAAAAAAAAAAAGAAAAAGAAAAGAAAAAUCAAGAAAUAUUCUUCCUAAACAUGCCUCAAAUUAGUAGCAGCACUUCCAGAUUUCAGACUGAUCCUUACCAGUUUUUUUUUUCUUUCAUUUAAAUGAGGGGAUGUGAUUUUCUUGAAAUGGGACAAUUACUGAAAUGUUUUUUUAGAUUAUUGAUGUAAGGACUGCUCCAAAGCUGCUACUGAAUACCCGAAGACUCAGUGAUUCCUCACACAAGAAUAUGCACUAGACCGGGACUCAAAAACAUCAGAAACAUAAUCUAUUCUCACGGGCUAGAAGUUGAGACAGUCAAAUUGUCAAAAGCUCUGAAAUGACGAUUUCCUCGUAAACAAUUGGUGAUAUUUUGAGAAGAGGUUAAACAAGCCCCGGAUUUUCAGGGAACAUUUGACAUCUUAUAAUUCUAAGUAAGGGCGGUCAACUUAUUGAUCGAUGUUGCAGUCAUUCUAACAAUUGAGUUGUGGAGUCACCACAGUUCCACAGCAGGUAUUUAUUCCUCAAGCAAUUAACAGGCAAUGCCUGCAAAUGGAGCUGUCCUCCUUGCUUUUGUCAUAUGGUAACCUUUUAGAAUUGGUGUAUGUAAAGUUAUGCUUUUUAGUUUAAGUUUUAAUUGUGUACAUUUCAAAUUCUGUUGCUAUUUUUUGUUUUGAAAGCCAAUCUUUUCUUCACUUUUUUGCUUCAAUGCAUUUUUUUAUUAAACAAAAUGAAUAGUUGCAUUGAUUAAGUAAAGUACAUUUUUAUACAGCCAAAAAAUACGAUUUGUUCCUCACAAACAUUAGUAAGCUUUAAAUAGUAAGCGGAAUGAACAGAUACAAUGCCUUAUUUUAUUACAUAUACAAAACAUUCAUAGUUUCUAAGAUUUCCCCUGUUAAAAAAAAAGAAAAGAAAAGAAACAGCUCUUUAGUGAAGAGCUAUCUUAGCAGUCAUUUUUUUUUCUGUUUAGCCUUGUAUUCUUUCAUGAUUAGAAAUCAAGAGAAGUUCCUCAGAAAGGAUUGUUUAGAGCUGCACUGACACCCUGUUCUGUGAAAAAUGUGCUUUGUGUAUGAAGAUCAGUGGGAAAUUCUCCUGCUUUCCCUGGCACUCUUCAGAAUUACUUGUGAUUUCAGCCUCUGCUAAAAUCAGUGGCAGAAUGCCAAUCCACUUCAGUAGAAGUGCAAAUUCAAAAGCCCUUGUUUUUCAGCCUGAUACUCGCUCUUUUCAUUAAGUUUAAUGAAAUGUUUCUUUAGCUAUGGAGAGUUGGACUGAAAUGUCAGUGAUACCCUUCCUAGUGCCUGUAUUUUAUUCACAGAGACUGAAUCGUAGCAGCAUGAGCUGUUUUAGUGAUUUUGCUGUGUGAAGUCUGUAAACAGAUUAGAUGGGUUGCUAGUUAAUGGAGGAUUUCUGGGUUGUUUUUCUCUUUGUUUGUUUCCCCUUAGUGAAGGAUAGUACAUUUAGAUCUCUUUAUGUGGAAAUAAAUCCAUGUACUAUUUACAGAUAUCCAGUGAAGACUCAUAUUCUAAAGAGAAAAUUGGGUUCUGAGUACCCAGAAAGACUGAAUUAAAAAGGCAAUAUAAAGUUAAUGCAGCCUAUCUUCAGCUUUCCUGUGAUCUGAAUAGCUAUUAACAAGGGGCUCUGGCUGGUCGUGCAAGCAGCUUUAGGGAGUCCACGUGUUGUGCAUGUUUUCAAAUUAUUGACUGAUUUGCUUUUGGAUUAUGUGUCCAUAUAUUCUCAUGAGAGCCGUUCCCUUACCUGAGGGUUGUAAAACUGAAGGUUGAUUUUUUUUGUUGUUGUUUCAACUUGCAGUGCCCUUAGGGGCCAAACAUAGGCUCAUACAUCAGUCGCAUUGAGAUUUUUUCAAAUUGGAUCUAUAAAUUAAAUAAUUGAAAGAUCUCUAACGUUGUUAAGGAAAGCGUUUUCUCUUGGAAUGCAUCUUUGCUGGCUGUCAGCAGCCUUUCUGCUACUCUUCAGUAGCAAAAGGUUCACAACUUACAUUUCUUUCUUAUUGGUAUGUGAAAGUACCAGGGUGACGAUAAUUUUCGUGUUGUAGCUGUGGACCAGCUCUUCACUUUCUACAUCCAGGUUUUCAUCAAUGUGACCUGGAUGAGAGAUAGUUUAGUCUCAUUUCCUUUAUGUAUGGUGGGUUAUUUCCACCCUUUUUAAAAAGUGGAAGCACCGCACACCACUGUUCUUUUUGGCAGUGUAUACUCAAGUUGCAUUAUUUUCCCAGUUUUGCUGAGUAUACCCUCAAUUUCAACUUCCAGAUGGUAUUUGCAAGGCUGUUGUUUUUUAUGGGUUUUUUUUUCUGUUUUUUGUUGUUGUUGUUUUUCUAAAGGCCUCUAUUGCUUUGUUCACAUUGGGAAUAAUUUGUCUGUGGUCUAUUCUCUAUCCAGAAACUGAAACUUCUCUGCCUGGUGACUGAGUAAUACCUUGAAUAGACGAGCUGGGAUUAUUCACAAUUUACUGUAUUUUUAUGCGAGGUUUAAAUCUUGUUAAAUGUGUAGUGACAGUGUGAAUUUGGUUUCUAACUACUUCUCCUCCCC